rnacentral:rRNA from 1 species
UACGAAGGGGGCUAGCGUUGCUCGGAAUCACUGGGCGUAAAGGGCGCGUAGGCGGCCAUUCAAGUCGGGGGUGAAAGCCUGUGGCUCAACCACAGAAUUGCCUUCGAUACUGUUUGGCUUGAGUAUGGUAGAGGUUGGUGGAACUGCGAGUGUAGAGGUGAAAUUCGUAGAUAUUGGGAAGAACACCGGUGGCGAAGGCGGCCAUCUGGACCGCAACUGACGCUGAGGCGCGAAAGCGUGGGGAGCAAACAGG